rnacentral:pre_miRNA from 1 species
AUCAGUCAAUGGAAGUCCACAGAUUUGACCACAAAAUCCACAUUGUCUUCUGGGUUUUGUUUUCAGAGGAAAAAAUGAGUCUUAAUGUGGAUGUUGGGGUCAAAUCUAUGGGGUUUCCAUCGAUUGAU